rnacentral:rRNA from 1 species
CAAGAGCGUAUGUAAAAGUUGUUGCAGUUAAAAAGCUCGUAGUUGAACCUUGGGUUUGGUUGGCCGGUCCGCUUUUUUGCGAGUACUGGAUUCAACCGAGCCUUUCCUUCUGGCUAACCAGUCGUUUCGGCGGCUGGCGAACCAGGAUUUUUACUUUGAGAAAAUUAGAGUGUUCAAAGCAGGCAUUAGCUUGAGUAUAUUAGCAUGGAAUAAUAGAAUAGGACGUUAUGGUUCUAUUUUGUUGGUUUCUAGGACCAUCGUAAUGAUUAAUAGGGACGGUCGGGGGCAUCAGUAUUCAGUUGUCAGAGGUGAAAUUCUUGGAUUUACUGAAGACUAACUACUGCGAAAGCAUUUGCCAAGGACGUUUUCAUUAA